UUAGCCUGUCAAAAGCAUUCUAAAGAGAUCAGAGAAGUAGGGGGCUGAAGUCAGGAGAAAGGACGAAUGAGCAAGGACUCAGGAAGGCACUGGUUGGGAGCCCAGAGGAAAAGCAAGGAUUAUGGAUGAUGCCAGAAGAAUGGUGAUCCACUGACAGAACUGGGGAGGGCCAGAAUGAGCCAGCUUUGGAUGGGGAAAGAUGGGGAGAUGGAGACUUCAGAGUCAUGAAUCCUGAGGUAACAGUGAGGCCCUCGAGUCUAGGGGGAUGGUGGAGCCAUAGAGCGAGGAGUCUGGUGCCUCAGGUGGAAGAAAUCCACCUGCCAACAGGAAAAGCCACUGUGUACCAAUACAUGAGAGCACAAAAGCAACAAAGCAACCCCCAGUAACAGGACAGAGGUGCUUCUGCUCCCCAGGAGGUCGGCGUGAGCUGCGGAGUCAGGCCAGGGCCCGAGCCCUGACUCGCCUAUGGAGCCGGAGCGCCCCGGGCCGCUGUCCCCGCCCCCCCCAGUCACUCCAAGACCAAAUAAAAAUAGCUGUUUUUAUUCUG